CCCUUGACGGUAUCUAACCAGAAAGCCACGGCUAACUACGUGCCAGCAGCCGCGGUAAUACGUAGGUGGCAAGCGUUGUCCGGAUUUAUUGGGCGUAAAGCGAGCGCAGGCGGUUUCUUAAGUCUGAUGUGAAAGCCCCCGGCUCAACCGGGGAGGGUCAUUGGAAACUGGGAGACUUGAGUGCAGAAGAGGAGAGUGGAAUUCCAUGUGUAGCGGUGAAAUGCGUAGAUAUAUGGAGGAACACCAGUGGCGAAGGCGGCUCUCUGGUCUGUAACUGACGCUGAGGCUCGAAAGCGUGGGGAGCAAACAGGAUUAGAUACCCUGGUAGUCCACGCCGUAAACGAUGAGUGCUAAGUGUUGGAGGGUUUCCGCCCUUCAGUGCUGCAGCUAACGCAUUAAGCACUCCGCCUGGGGAGUACGACCG
rnacentral:rRNA from 1 species